rnacentral:rRNA from 1 species
GAACGUUGGCGGCGUGCUUACACAUGCAAGUCGAACGAAGCAAUUUUCUACGAUCCCUUGCGGGUGACGGAUUAUUGACUGAGUGGCGGACGGGUGAGUAACGCGUGGGUAACCUACCUUGUACAGGGGGACAACAGUUGGAAACGACUGCUAAUACCGCAUCAAGCGCACAGCAUCGCAUGAUGCAGUGUGAAAAGUUUUUUCGGUACAAGAUGGACCCGCGUCUGAUUAGCUAGUUGGUGAGGUAACGGCCCACCAAGGCGACGAUCAGUAGCCGACCUGAGAGGGUGACCGGCCACAUUGGGACUGAGACACGGCCCAAACUCCUACGGGAGGCAGCAGUGGGGAAUAUUGCACAAUGGGCGAAAGCCUGAUGCAGCGACGCCGCGUGAGCGAAGAAGUAUUUCGGUAUGUAAAGCUCUAUCAGCAGGGAAGAUAAUGA